GGGGGUGACCGGUUUUGACAGCGGGUAGAAAGGGUAUGUAAGCAUGCAGAGCUUCGUUGCCUGGCUCUAUAAUCUCAGACAUCAAAAAUUUAACUGGCGAAAACAAUUACGCUCUCGCUGCUUAAUCGAAGUACAGUAGGUUAGCUUUAUUCCGGCAACAGUUGCCGGAACGAGACAUCACCCGGUUGCUGUGGUUCCGAAGCGUUCCGAACAGGUGGUGCAAGAAUAUCGGAAAUAGCGGAAGUCCCGCCCCGGGACGACCGUGAAAUCUUAGGGGCUAAGGUGCACAUUGGUAGCUCCGGUCUUGUGUGUGCCCGACAACCGAAGCGGAGAUAAGCAUGUAGAAAGCAUAUUGUUUCCUCGUUUGGACGAGAGUUCGAAUCUCUCCACCUCCACAC
rnacentral:tmRNA from 1 species